rnacentral:rRNA from 1 species
UACGUAGGUGGCAAGCGUUAUCCGGAUUUAUUGGGCGUAAAGGGAACGCAGGCGGUCUUUUAAGUCUGAUGUGAAAGCCUUCGGCUUAACCGGAGUAGUGCAUUGGAAACUGGGAGACUUGAGUGCAGAAGAGGGGAGUGGAACUCCAUGUGUAGCGGUGAAAUGCGUAGAUAUAUGGAAGAACACCAGUGGCGAAAGCGGCUCUCUGGUCUGUAACUGACGCUGAGGUUCGAAAGCGUGGGUAGCAAACGGG